GACGAACGCUGGCGGCGUGCUUAACACAUGCAAGUCGAACGGAAAGGCCCUGCUUUUGUGGGGUGCUCGAGUGGCGAACGGGUGAGUAACACGUGAGUAACCUGCCCUUGACUUUGGGAUAACUUCAGGAAACUGGGGCUAAUACCGGAUAGGAGUUCCUGCUGCAUGGGGGGGGUUGGAAAGUUUCGGCGGUUGGGGAUGGACUCGCGGCUUAUCUGCUUGUUGGUGGGGUAGUGGCUUACCAAGGCUUUGACGGGUAGCCGGCCUGAGAGGGUGACCGGCAACAUGGGGACUGGAAUACGGCCCAGACUCCUACGGGGGGCAGCAGUGGGGAAUAUUGCACAAUGGGCGGAAGCCUGAUGCAGCAACGCCGCGUGCGGAAUGACGGCCUUCGGGUUGUAAACCGCUUUCGCCUGUAACGAAGCGUGAGUGACGGUAAUGGGUAAAGAAGCACCGGCUAACUACGUG
rnacentral:rRNA from 1 species